rnacentral:rRNA from 1 species
AGUGAACGCUGGCGGUAGGCCUAACACAUGCAAGUCGAACGGCAGCACAGUAAGCGCUUGCCCUUACGGGUGGCGAGUGGCGGACGGGUGAGGAAUACAUCGGAAUCUACUUUUUCGUGGGGGAUAACGUAGGGAAACUUCCGCUAAUACAGCAUACGACCUACGGGUGAGAGCAGGGGAUCUUCGGACCUUGCGCGAUUGAAUGAGCCGAUGUCGGAUUAGCUAGUUGGCGGGGUAAAGGCCCACCAAGGCGACGAUCCGUAGCUGGUCUGAGAGGAUGAUCAGCCACACUGGAACUGAGACACGGUCCAGACUCCUACGGGAGGCAGCAGUGGGGAAUAUUGCACAAUGGGCGAAAGCCUGAUCCAGCCAUACCGCGUGGGUGAAGAAGGCCUUCGGGUUGUAAAGCCCUUUUGUUGGGAAAGAAAAGCAGCAGGUUUAUACCCCGCUGUUCUGACGGUACCCAAAGAAUAAGCACCGGCUAACUUCGUG